rnacentral:rRNA from 1 species
UGGGGAAUAUUGCACAAUGGGGGAAACCCUGAUGCAGCGACGCCGCGUGAGCGAAGAAGGCUUUCGAGUCGUAAAGCUCUGUCCUAUGAGAAGAUAAUGACGGUAUCAUAGGAGGAAGCCCUGGCUAAAUACGUGCCAGCAGCCGCGGUAAUACGUAUGGGGCGAGCGUUGUCCGGAAUUAUUGGGCGUAAAGGGUACGUAGGCGGUUUUUUAAGUCAGGUGUCAAAGCGUGGAGCUUAACUCCAUUAAGCACUUGAAACUGAAAGACUUGAGUGAAGGAGAGGAAAGUGGAAUUCCUAGUGUAGCGGUGAAAUGCGUAGAUAUUAGGAGGAAUACCGGUGGCGAAGGCGACUUUCUGGACGGCAACUGACGCUUAGGCGCGAAAGCGUGGGGAGCAAACAGG